rnacentral:rRNA from 1 species
UACAGAGGUCUCAAGCGUUGUUCGGAUUCAUUGGGCGUAAAGAGCUCGUAGGCGGCUCAGUAAGUCGGGUGUGAAACCUCCAGGCUCAACCUGGAGACGCCACCCGAUACUGCUGUGGCUUGAGUCCGGUAGGGGAGCGUGGAAUUCCUGGUGUAGCGGUGAAAUGCGCAGAUAUCAGGAGGAACACCAGCGGCGAAGGCGGCGCUCUGGGCCGGAACUGACGCUGAGGAGCGAAAGCGUGGGGAGCAAACAGG